GUAUCUGAAUAUGAUAGCUAGGGACAAAGGGUUAAAAAGAUUCACAUACAGACUGGGUCAGGGCAUGUUCUGUGUAAAAGAUUAUACUGGGAGAGGAAUAAGUUGUGUCAAAUAAAGGAUAAACACUGAGGUGCUUGAGUGAGGAGAUCUAAUGGUCACCACCAGAAAGCUGGGGACAUGGAAUAGGGGAACAAAGGCCAGGGAGGACAGGGGGCCAUCCACAGCAGUGAUUCUUACCCGGGGGUGGGGGGUGGGGGGUUCCACCCGAGGGGGGGGCGGGCACGGCCCCCGGGUAGCCUAUCAGAACAUCAGAGGGGAGCAGCAGUGACCUGCUCACAAACAUUAACAACAACCCUAGCUCAGAAGAUGGUUCUGAUAGGCUACUUGGGGGCCAUGCACCCCCGGGUGAGAAUCACUGGUGGAAGGGGUAGGGGGAUGGAGAAGGCUACAGAGAAGGAAGGGUGAGCAGAUGGAGGAGGCAUCAGAGUCAUGACUGUCAGACUUGGGAGGAAAGGUCCUGCUGGUGCAGGGGGAUGACAGUGAGCAGCAACUGGAUGCAGUGCAGAAGGGAGGUGGGAGGAAGGGUGAGAGCUGUGAGAGGGUUUCCUGUCAGGGGCAGGGAGGGCACUGCCAACUGUGCUUCCUGCUGAGGACUGAGGUGGGGCAGUGAGGCUGAUAGAGAUGGAGGAUGCAUAGAGGUGAAAGGUGUUUAUAGCUAGUUGUAUGUAGGAAUCAAAGGCAGGUAAAAAUGGAGCCAGUGAUGUAGGGAAGCUCAUGGAAGGAGAUGAGUGCUGAGGAGU
rnacentral:lncRNA from 1 species